GUACAUAUUUCCCUAUUAGCCUUAUAUUGUGGUGUAGCUGAUUACACUUAGGGAGUACUAGUCAGCAAUUCACUAAUAAAGUGAAACAGGCUGGGUGGGCGUAAAAAUAAAUUGCCAGGGUGGCGAUAGUUGGGUCGGUGCGGGGGGCUCCAUUACAGGUUGUCAAAAUGUCGCAUACUAGAGGCUUACUUGCAUGCUAGAUUUACCCCUAACCUAAGGGAG